CCAGAUGAUGGAGAUUUGGAUAAACAGGAAAUCGCAUACAUAAAAGACUUGGUCUUGAAGCUAGAGGAAGAAUUGCAUACUGUAACAUCUUCAUCAUCCAAAUAAUUACACAUCCCGGCAGAUCAAAUUGGUGGUGCAAUACAAAGACAGUUCGCAGACGCCUUGAAAGUUCAUGUUCAACAGCAAGCGAAUGACGGUUGAAAGAGGAAGCAACUGGAUGUUUGGUCAACCAGCAAAGCAGCUGGUGGCGACAAAGCGAUAUACCAGUGGAACUUCAAAAUCUACAUGUCAUUAAGAAACAUCAGAUGUUUGUUGGAAUCCUCAAAAGUUCUAAACUCUUCGUACAAAAACAGGAACAAGGUGAACUACUUGACAAAAAUGGGGAUUG